CUGAGUUUGAGGACAACUGAGAGCUUGCCUUCCCAUUUCACAGAUGAGGAGAUGGAGGCCCAGAGACCUUGAGCACCCGGCCAAGGUCCCAGCGACAUAAUCUUAGACUCAAUACUAGAAUCCAGCUAUCACGACUCUUGGUCUUGGGAUCUUUUCACUCCUUGCAGGCAACAUCUGACACAUGUGACAAGCACUCAAGCCAGUUCUUUGAGGAACUGAGAAUUUGGAGACGAAAGGGAGUCUUGCCCUGAGGAGCCUGUGGCUGCAGGAAGCACUGGGUCCUAGCAUCAAAGGGAGAGAGAGACACGUCUGCGAGCUCAGAGAGACUGUCCCCACGGUUCCCAUCCUCCAUUGAAUGGCAGUUCCAACCAAAUCAGCACAAAUCCGGAAUUCACUAAAUAAAACCACCGGAAAACAAGGUCGAAGCGACCCAGGCCAAAAGAACCCAUAAAACAAGCGCCUUCCUAUCCAUCCUGAGAGGCGAGCUGCAGAGUGGCCCCAAGUGACAAUGGGGGACUCGCGGCUGGGCCUCAUCCCCCACUCCAGCACCGCCUGGGAUGAAUCACACGACAGAGAACAACGGGGCUAUUUCUUAAGAGUCAUUUGUCAAGUUGACAUCCGCGCCUCGAGUUAUUUAGGGCUUUCUAAAGACGCUUCUUUCCCUCCCCGCCGCAGGAAGCACCUGCAUGGCUGUCGAGCUGUGGGUUUGCUCAAUGGCACUUUGAUAUCUCUUCAGGUCAUCAAUUACCCUGGUGUCCCCUCCCUGCAGGCACGGACUUUGGCCGGGACGAAGAUAGGCAGGCUUAGAGAGGAGGAUGGAGAGGAGGAUGAAGCCCAAGAGGACGGCAAGCUCCUCCCUGCCCCGGGAUCUGAGUCCAGACACCGUCUGGAGGUAUCAGGGCAUCUGCUGAGAGGAAGGUGAGCAGAUGGUGGAGGACUCAUCACUCAAGGAAUCCCAGUUGCCUCCAUAUCAUGUGCUUCUAAAGCAACUCUUCCAAAACGACACAACUUAUAUCAGGUGCAUCUACGCUUUGCAUGGAUGUAAUCUGUCACUUCCUGAAUAUAAAUUAAUA
ensembl:lncRNA